rnacentral:rRNA from 1 species
UACGUAGGGUGCAAGCGUUGUCCGGAAUUAUUGGGCGUAAAGGGCUCGUAGGCGGUUUGUCGCGUCGGGAGUGAAAACCUCGGGCUUAACUCGGGGCUUGCUUUCGAUACGGGCAGACUGGAGGUAUGCAGGGGAGAACGGAAUUCCUGGUGUAGCGGUGAAAUGACGCAGAGUAUCAGGAGGAACACCGAUGGCGAAGGCAGUUCUCUGGGCCGUAACUGACGCUGAGGAGCGAAAGCGUGGGGAGCGAACAGG